AAGCUAGGCUUCCAAAGGGAAUGACAAAGAAGCAGGUUCUCCUCUUGCUUAAUAAGUAGUCAUAGUUUGCCUCUGGAGAUAUGUAUUUCCAGUUGUUUUAGUUGUUUUGUUUUGUUUUGUUUUGUUGUUGUCAUCGCUAUCGAAGAAUAUUCUUUCCUGUCAGUGAUUAUUAACACUUUCCGUUUUUCAGAAUGCUUUAACUCUGUUUGAUGUUUCCUCACUUGGUUACCUUUCUCAAGUCUGCGAUGACCCUCUCAGGCUUUGCCAUUCUUAUCGAUUCUUACCAGAAUGUACUUACUCAUUAGCUGUUUUGUUAUAGUUAUGGUGGAGAUAAUCUUGUUUUUCAGGCUUUUAUAACUAACCAAACAAAUUACCUUUUGAGGUGAAAUUUCUCAUAGUUAUCCUUGACACAGAACUGAACUUGUCUUGAAAAGGCUUGAAGAAAAUCCAAUUAGCCGUUUUUUGAGAACUGAAUAUUCUAAUAAAUGCAAAUGGAUUAUUUUACAAAAUACUUAUUGAUGUGCAAUGCUUUUCUAAUCUGUUUUUCUUUUCGUGCUUUAAAACAGACCCUGAAAAUUAAAUGUAUUAAAAAGAAAGAAAGAAAAAGAAAGAAACCUGCCAGGUUAAUACUGAUAUUUUAAAUACCCAAUUUAAAAUAAUGCUCAAAGUUUGAAUUUCUUUGCAACAUAUCACCUUUCAGUGUCAGUCAGUAAUACCUGGGCAGGUAUAUAUAUACAUUCACACCCACAGGGAAACAUGAAUCCACUUUACAGUUACAUUAAUUCUAUUUUAACCUACAAGAGAAAAGGUUAGCAUUACUGUAAAACUUUUGUUAAUUCAUUAUAUUUUAUUUUUCUGUAAUAAAAAAUUCACUGAACUAUUGCUUUCAUCCAAUUAUAUAUAUACUUAACACCCAUUUAUAUUCAAAUAUUUUAUCUUAAUUUAUGAAGUAUUUUUAUAAGUCUUAUAUGCUGCUGAAUUUUAUGCAGCUAUAUGAACGUUUAAGUUUUUUCUGAUACAAUUUGCUUUGUUCCGAAUCUGUUACUGUGUUAGAAGUUUUUUUCUUUCCCAAUCUAGAAAGAGUAUGGCCAUCUUUUCCUAUAUGUGAUAUCUAUACAUCUUCAGUAUUCUGAAGAAGAGAUUUUUUAACCUGCAAUCUCUUGGAAAGCUUUCAAACAAGUGGGAGAAGUAAUCUUUACUUUGCUUCUCCUUGAUCCAUCUGUUUGCCCUCACUGUACCACCCGUCACCACCAGCAACCCUGAAAAAAACAACAGUAAUAAAUAUGAUACGAUAAUUUUUCUGAUCACAGAACCAGGAAAUACCAGAGAAAAUUGUGGCAUAUGUAGGAAAAUGCCAAGAGCUUCUCCAGUAAGAUCAGCUGUUUUUAUACUUUUUUUUUUUCCUCUUGAAUUUUGUUUGUGACUUUUUUGGCUUGCUGAAGCACAUCCCCAUAAUCUUACGAAGCCACAGCAAAUUCCCAAUGCCACAACAAUACUGUGCAGCCGGGGAGAGGCCAGAAGAGCUGAUCCUGGGUGGCUGCAGGCUUCCCCAGCAAUGGUGCAAGGCAGGAGGAUGUGUAAUCUGGUCUAAAUUUGAAGAAGAGGGCAAGUAUAGCAUUUUUAUCUAGCUUGAAUAUGGCAUGGUAAUUCUGUAUUAAUGAGGUCAAUGGUAAAUGCAGUUCAGCUACACAUUUCUGUUUUUCCAGACAUACAAACACAUUCUGUGGAAAUAGAAAAUGUCUAAAAAAUGGAAAUGAUGAAAUAACUUGAGACAUGACAAAUCGCUUAACCUAUCUGUGUAAUAGUGUAUUUGUCAAAUAAAUAGAAAACCAUCUAUCCUCAUCUACUUCACAGCAGUAUUGCUAAGGCUGAUUGUGCACACAUAUAUUAAUGUAUAUAUCGUAGCUAUCUAUUUACAGCAGGGGAGAAUGGUUUUAAAAUAAAUGAAUCAGAGUUUUAUGUGUGCAUCCAUUGUGAAGAAUUCAGUUGUGUCCUUACCGUAGGAAGACAGGGUUAACUGAGAGUUUUGAGAGUUGUGGUAUGUGCUUUUCCAUUUGGGUCUGGG
rnacentral:lncRNA from 1 species